CCGCUCCGAGCCCCGCUCCGCGCCCCGCGCCGCCGCUCCGCGCCCGCCGCCGUCCACCUCAGAGCUCGCAGAGGAGGGAUCGCCCGGAGCUCCGGCGCCCCCCAUCCCGGUCCGGCCCGGGAUGCUGCGCGGUGCUGAGCACUGAGGGGCACCAUGGGGUGCGCGGCGUAGCCCCCCGCCGUGGCCACCCC